AAAUGUCCAAAAUUUGUAUGUUUUGGUCUUAUUCCUCUCAAACCAUGGGAAUUCGAAAUGGUCCGUGAUUUUGGUGGGUGUGGUUGUCCCUCCCAGGAAUAAGACGAAAUGUCCAAAAUUUGUAUGUUUUGGUCUUAUUCCUCUCAAACCAUGGGAAUUCGAAAUGGUCCGUGAUUUUGGUGGGUGUGGUUGUCCCUCCCAGGAAUAAGACGAAAUGUCCAAAAUUUGUAUGUUUUGGUCUUAUUCCUCUCAAACCAUGGGAAUUCGAAAUGGUCCGUGAUUUUGGUGGGUGUGGUUGUCCCUCCCAGGAAUAAGACGAAAUGUCCAAAAUUUGUAUGUUUUGGUCUUAUUCCUCUCAAACCAUGGGAAUUCGAAAUGGUCCGUGAUUUUGGUGGGUGUGGUUGUCCCUCCCAGGAAUAAGACGAAAUGUCCAAAAUUUGUAUGUUUUGGUCUUAUUCCUCUCAAACCAUGGAAAUUCGAAAUGGGCUAUGAUUUUGGUGGGUGUGGUUGUCCCUCCCAGGAAUAAGACGAAAUGUCCAAAAUUUGUAUGUUUUGGUCUUAUUCCUCUCAAACCAUGGAAAUUCGAAAUGGGCUAUGAUUUUAGUGGGUGUGGUUGUCCCUCCCAGGAAUAAGACGAAAUGUCCAAAAUUUGUAUGUUUUGGUCUUAUUCCUCUCAAACCAUGGAAAUUCGAAAUGGGCUAUGAUUUUAGUGGGUGUGGUUGUCCCUCCCAGGAAUAAGACGAAAUGUCCAAAAUUUGUAUGUUUUGGUCUUAUUCCUCUCAAACCAUGGGAAUUCGAAAUGGUCCGUGAUUUUGGUGGGUGUGGUUGUCCCUCCCAGGAAUAAGAUGAAGAUACAAAU